rnacentral:rRNA from 1 species
CAGUCGCCGCGGGAAUACGUAGGGUCCGAGCGUUGUCCGGAAUUAUUGGGCGUAAAGAGCUCGUAGGCGGUCUGUCGCGUCUGCCGUGAAAUCCUCAGGCUCAACCUGAGGCGUGCGGUGGGUACGGGCAGGCUAGAGUGCGGUAGGGGAGAAUGGAACUCCUGGUGUAGCGGUGGAAUGCGCAGAUAUCAGGAAGAACACCGAUGGCGAAGGCAGUUCUCUGGGCCGUAACUGACGCUGAGGAGCGAAAGCGUGGGGAGCGAACAGGAUUAGAUACCCCUGUAGUCCCUGUCUCUUAUAC